GAUGAACGCUGGCGGCGUGCCUAACACAUGCAAGUCGAGCGAUUCUCUUCGGAGAAGAGCGGCGGACGGGUGAGUAACGCGUGGGUAACCUGCCCUGUACACACGGAUAACAUACCGAAAGGUAUGCUAAUACGGGAUAAAAUACUUAAGUCGCAUGGCUGAAGUAUCAAAGCUCCGGCGGUACAGGAUGGACCCGCGUCUGAUUAGCUAGUUGGUAAGGUAAUGGCUUACCAAGGCGACGAUCAGUAGCCGACCUGAGAGGGUGAUCGGCCACAUUGGAACUGAGACACGGUCCAAACUCCUACGGGAGGCAGCAGUGGGGAAUAUUGCACAAUGGGCGAAAGCCUGAUGCAGCAACGCCGCGUGAGCGAUGAAGGCCUUCGGGUCGUAAAGCUCUGUCCUCAAGGAAGAUAAUGACGGUACUUGAGGAGGAAGCCCCGGCCAACUACGUGCCAGCCGCCGCGGUAA
rnacentral:rRNA from 1 species